rnacentral:lncRNA from 10 species
GUUAUCAGACAAUUAGGCACACCACAGCGAGGUUAUUGCAUAAUUAAUGCUCAGUCCCCAUCUCAGCCUCUGAGAGUGACACAGGUUACAAGAUUCACCUGCCCCGCAUCUGGGAGAGGAGCAGGGGCACCCAGGAUGGGGAAUGACCUCCCUGUGGGCUCAGAGGAGGAUGUUCUUAGGACCCCAGAGGCAUGGCAAAUCUGAACAGACACUCCACCAAAGAAGAUACACAGAUAGGAAAGAAGCAAACGAAAAGAUGCUCAACAUCACAUGUCAUUAGGGAAUUGUCAAUUAAAACAGCAAUUAGAUAACCACUACACACCUAUUUGAAUGGCUACACCCAAAAAACCAACAGUAACCAAUGCUAUAGAGGACGUGGAGCAACAAAAAUUCUCAUACACGCCGGUGGCAAUGCAAAGUGGCACAGCCACUUUGGAAGACGGUUUGGCAGCUUCUUCCAAAGCCAAAUAUAGUCAUAACAACAGGCGCCCGCCACCACACCCAGCUAAUUUUUUGUAUUUUUAGUAGAGACGGGGUUUCACCCUGUUAACCAGGAUGGUCUCGAUCUCCUGACCUCGUGAUCCGCCCAUCUCAGCCUCCCAAAGUGCUAGGAUUACAGGCUUGAGCCACCGAACCCGGCCAAUGUUUGGUAGUUUUUAGCAUACAAAUCUUGCACGUAUUUCAGGUUUUCCUUGAUAUCGUAAAUGGUCCUUUUUUUCUUUUUUUUGACACAGAGUCGCUCAGGCUGGAGUAUAGUGGUGUGAUCUCGGCUAACUGACACCUCCACCUCCCAGGUUCAAGUGAUUCUCCUGCCUCAGCCUCCGGAGUAGCUAGGAUUACAGGCAUGCGCCACCACACCUGGCUAAUUUUUAUAUAUCUAGUAGAGAUGGAGGUUUCACCAUGUUGGCCAGGCUCGUCUUGAACUCCUGACUUCAAGUGAUCCCCCCACCUUGGCCUCCCAAAGUUCUGGGAUUACAGAC